CUGUUUUUACCUUUGGUUCUGCAAGCCAGGCACAUGGAUACGUUUGAACACGAGAUAAAAUCUGUUUUAUUGGGAAAAAGGUUUACAUUUGUCAUGGUACUUGGAACAAAAAAAUUGCAAGACACUCCUGUUUCUCAGUAGGUAAGCUGAAUUUGAAAAUGAAUGGAAAAACACACCUUCAAUUGUGUUUAUAUGCCCAGAACAAACAUAUUGUAAGCUCAAAACCACAUCAUUGCUGAAGAAUAAUAGCCUGAUACAGAAUAACUCACAUAGAAAAAGAUAUAAAACAUGAAUGCCAUAAACAGAGAAAUCAGUAAGCAGAUGCACUAGAGAGGAGGGGAAUGUUAAAAGACUAUGGAGAUUAUCAGUUUGCAUAUGGAGAAACAGGAAGUGAGAGCACCCUCAACCGGAGGGUUCAGUUGACAUAGUCCAGUCAGCAAGUGUUCGGUUUUCUCUUUCUUUCUGCUCUUUUGCUGCAUCUUUCCCCUCUCCCUCCCCCUCCCCCUCCCCCUCCCCCUCCCCCCCUUUUCUUUCUAUUUGUUUUACCGCUCAUAGUUUCUACUUUAGCCUUUCCUCUAUUCUUCUCCCUUGCCAGUCCAUAUCUCUCUCUCCUUUAUCGCAACCCAUCCCUUUUCUCUCCUGCUCUUUUCCUUCUUUUUCCACUCUUUUUUCCUUUUAUAUUCCAAUCUUUCCUUCCUCGUCACGCCUCUUCGUUGUACUCUAGUCUCGUUAUACAGCUUCUAUUGAUAAAAGUUCACUUUUCAAGAAAAGAAAAGGUGUUAAGAUGCAUCAGAUAUAGUUCUUUGAAUGCAUCACAUGGAAGCCUAUUCAAUUGGAACAAUAAAAUUUGGUUAAUGCAGAAAAGAUUUGUCAUGAAAUCCCAUUACGAUAUAAAUCACUCCAAAUAAUGAUACAAGCAGCUGAUAUUGGAGGCAUUUCAAACAUUCG
rnacentral:lncRNA from 1 species